CAGUCGCCGCGGGAAAACGAAGGGGGCUAGCGUUGUUCGGAUUUACUGGGCGUAAAGCGCACGUAGGCGGACUUUUAAGUCAGGGGUGAAAUCCCGGGGCUCAACCCCGGAACUGCCUUUGAUACUGGAAGUCUUGAGUAUGGUAGAGGUGAGUGGAAUUCCGAGUGUAGAGGUGAAAUUCGUAGAUAUUCGGAGGAACACCAGUGGCGAAGGCGGCUCACUGGACCAUUACUGACGCUGAGGUGCGAAAGCGUGGGGAUCAAACAGGAUUAGAGACCCCAGUAGUCCCUGUCUCUUAUAC
rnacentral:rRNA from 1 species